UACAGAGGUCCCGAGCGUUGUUCGGAUUCACUGGGCGUAAAGGGUGCGUAGGUGGUGAGGUAAGUCGGAUGUGAAAUCUCGAGGCUUAACCUCGAGCUGUCGGCGGAAACCAUCUGGCUAGAGUCCGGAAGAGGAGAAUGGAAUUCCCGGUGUAGCGGUGAAAUGCGCAGAUAUCGGGAAGAACACCCGUGGCGAAGGCGGUUCUCUGGGACGGUACUGACGCUGAGACGCGAAAGCGUGGGGAGCGAACAGG
rnacentral:rRNA from 1 species